CCAUGUUAUGUGGGUCCGUGUCACCACAGCAUUGCGUGUCCUCAGGUUGUGGACGGAGGUACAGCCUCCAGUAGUGCAGGUUAGCUGCAAAUAUACUGAAUAAGCAGUCAUGGACAGCCAAUUAAUGAUGAUCGUCCAGCUUAGGGGUUAGGCAUGGGGCAAACAACCAUUCAUCAUAAAAAUGUUUUAUGUUGCAAAAACAACAAAGCCUCGGAAUUAGAUGAAUUGUGCGCAAUAAUAACCCAGGUGACAUUCAAAGCACUUGAGAAUUGGAACAUGGAAUGUGAGGAGCUUAUAUAGAACAUGGGCAUGGGAUAAGAUAGCUAUGGAGGCAGGGAAGUACAGGGCACUUC